GAGUUUGAUCAUGGCUCAGGAUGAACGCUAGCUACAGGCUUAACACAUGCAAGUCGCGGGGCAGCAUGUAUCUGGCUUGCCAGAUACGAUGGCGACCGGCGCACGGGUGAGUAACGCGUAUCCAACCUGCCCACCACUUGGGGAUAACCUUGCGAAAGUAAGACUAAUACCCAAUGACGUCUCUAGAAGACAUCUGAAAGGGAUUAAAGAUUUAUCGGUGAUGGAUGGGGAUGCGUCUGAUUAGCUUGUUGGCGGGUAACGGCCCACCAAGGCAACGAUCAGUAGGGGCUCUGAGAGGAAGGUCCCCCACAUUGGAACUGAGACACGGUCCAAACUCCUACGGGAGGCAGCAGUGAGGAAUAUUGGUCAAUGGGCGAGAGCCUGAACCAGCCAAGUAGCGUGCAGGAAGACGGCCCUAUGGGUUGUAAACUGC
rnacentral:rRNA from 1 species